CUGUUCGGGGAAUGAUGUAUUAUUAUCGGGCUUUGAAAAUUCUCGCGUAUCUUGAUUCCGCUUCUGAAGUGGAAAUCAG